UUUCGCAAUGCCCGAAAGGGUGACGAGGCGACGCCGCGUGAGUGAGGAAGGCCUUCGGGUUGUAAAGCUCUGUCAGGAGUUAAGAAAUAUAAGUGUGCUAAUACCACAUUUAUUUGACGAAGGCUCCAAAGGAAGCCACGGCUAACUCUGUGCCAGCAGCCGCGGUAAUACAGAGGUGGCAAGCGUUGUUCGGAAUUAUUGGGCGUAAAGAGCACGUAGGUGGGUUUGUAAGUCAGAUGCGAAAGCCUUCUGUUCAACGGAAGAAUUGCAUCUGAAACUGCGAGUCUUGAGUGUAGGAGGGGAGAAUGGAACUUCUGGUGGAGCGGUGAAAUGCGUAGAUAUCAGAAGGAACGCCGGCGGCGAAAGCGAUUCUCUGGCCUAUUACUGACACUCAGUGUGCGAAAGCUAGGGGAGCAAACGGGAUUAGAUACCCCGGUAGUCCUAGCCGUAAACGAUGGGCACUAAGUAGAGGGGUUUUA
rnacentral:rRNA from 1 species